rnacentral:rRNA from 1 species
UACGGGGGGGGCGAGCGUUGUUCGGAAUUACUGGGCGUAAAGGGCUCGUAGGCGGCCAACUAAGUCCGACGUGAAAUCCCCAGGCUUAACCUGGGAACUGCGUCGGAUACUGGAUGGCUUGAAUUCGGGAGAGGGAUGCAGAAUUCCAGGUGUAGCGGUGAAAUGCGUAGAUAUCUGGAGGAAUACCGGUGGCGAAGGCGGCAUCCUGGACCGACAUUGACGCUGAGGAGCGAAAGCUAGGGGAGCAAACGGGG